GGUGGAGAGGCCAGACUAGGAAGCCUCUGACAGCCCGAGAGGCGCACAGCCCCAGUCCCACACAAGCAUGCCGCUCCUCCAGCUGUUCUACUUUGCCUUGCUGGCUGCCUGUGGCUUCUCAGAGGAGCAGACGGAAGGCACAGGCAUCACCAUUGCCUACAAAGUACUGGAAGUUUAUCCCCAAAGCCAGAGAGUGCUUAUAACCUGUGAUGCCCCCAAGGCACCCCGGCCCAUCACAUACUCUCUCCUGGCUAGCCGAGGUGUCCUGGUGUCAAAAAAGGUUGUGCAUGACUCCAUGCCAGCCUCCUUCAACAUCAAUAUCACGAUCAAGUCCAACCCGGACCUGCUCACCUACUCCUGCCAGGGAGCCUCAAACUCUGGCACCUAUGGGCCCAGCAGCAAGCUGCAGAUGUACCAGGAACUGUGGGCUAAGCCAGUGUCUCAGCUGCAGGCUGACUUCGUCCUACGUGAUGGGGACUCGGGCCCCACUGUGGAGCUGUCCUGCCUGGCAUCCUCAGGCAGCCCCCCCAUCACCUACCGCUUGGUGGGGAAUGGUGGGCAUGUCCUUGCACAGCAAAGACCGCUCCAUGGGAGCCCUGCCAACUUCUCCCUCCCGCUGUCCCAGACCUCUGGCUGGUUCCAGUGCGAAGCUGAAAACAGUGUUGGUGUGGACAGCAGUGCCCGCAUCCUGCUGCCCCCAGCAGAGGCCCAAUCCAAGCCGGCAUCCAUCCUCGCAGGGGAGCUGCCCCUGACACCCACCUGUAUUCUGGCUGGUAGCCUCAUCUCCAUUGCCAUUAUUGCUUCCAAGAUGCUGAGCUCGGCCAGGUAAGCCAAGGGAGCUUAGUGUGGGUGAAAGUCUGACCACCUCUGGGACCAGCCAGUGUCCUGAGUGGGAACAGCGGGUCAAUCUUGUGAGACUGGAGUCUGAAUAACAAGGCCCAACCUGAAGCUGCUUAUUAAAGCCAAAGGCCUACGGUAUCUAGCAAGCUCCUUACACACCCCACCCUCACCUUGGCUCCCAGCCCACAUCUGGUGGGGGAUUUCCCUAUGGGUCUCAUGGGGCCCCUAGAGACCAGAGUGGGCCAGGAGUUCUACCCACCACACAGUCCCACCUGUGAGCCUUUCCACAGAGGUGAGGUGAGGCCUCCCAAGUUUCUCUCUCCUAAGUCUUUACCUCUGGCAUGUACAGUGGCCAGAGCAUUUGUGUGCUUCAAGCACCUUUGGGUUGUGACCACUUCUGUCCUCCAACAUCUCAAUUUGGCACCUGUUGGACCUUACCAUUCAUCCUUCCAAGACCAUUUUCUCCAGAGGCCAGGUUCUUAGAAGAGCAUAUCACCUCUCUGAGACUCAUUGUUUUCCUCUGUAAAAUGGGUACAGAGGGCUAGCUCCUACUGACGUGUGGCCAGGUUGUGACCAGAAGACAGAGCCAUGGGCCUGCCUCCCUGCCCUAUACAAGAAACUGCCGAUGGAGUAAAAGAGAGCCUGGGGAGUCGGGGUAGAAAAGAGGGGUGCAGGGCUGGAGAGAUGGCUCAGUGGUUAAGAGCACUG